rnacentral:rRNA from 1 species
AACCUCCGCAAUGUGAGAAAUCGCGACGGGGGGAUCCCAAGUGCCAUUCUUAACGGGAUGGCCUUUCUUAAGUGUAAAAAGCUUUUGGAAUAAGAGCUGGGCAAGACCGGUGCCAGCCGCCGCGGUAACACCGGCAGCUCUAGUGGUAGCUGUUUUUAUUGGGCCUAAAGCGUUCGUAGCCGGUUUGAUAAGUCACUGGUGAAAUCCUGUAGCUUAACUGUGGGAAUUGCUGGUGAUACUGUUGAACUUGAGGUCGGGAGAGGUUAGCGGUACUCCCAGGGUAGAGGUGAAAUUCUGUAAUCCUGGGAGGACCACCUGUGGCGAAGGCGGCUAACUGGAACGAACCUGACGGUGAGGGACGAAAGCUAGGGGCGCGAACCGGAUUAGAUACCCGGGUAGUCCUAGCCGUAAACGAUGCGGACUUGGUGUUGGGAUGGCUUUGAGCCGCUCCGGUGCCGAAGGGAAGCUGUUAAGUCCGCCGCCUGGGAAGUACGGUCGCAAGACUGAAACUUAAAGGAAUU